rnacentral:rRNA from 1 species
GACGAACGCUGGCGGCGUGCUUAACACAUGCAAGUCGAACGGAAAGGCCCUGCUUUUGUGGGGUGCUCGAGUGGCGAACGGGUGAGUAAUUCGUGACUAACCUCCCCUUGACUUUGGGGUAACUUCUGGUAACUGGGGCUAAUACCGGAUCGUAGCUCCUGCUGCAUGGUGGGGGUUGGAAAGUUUCGGCGGUUGGGGAUGGACUCGCGGCUUAUCAGCUUGUUGGUGGGGUAGUGGCUUACCAAGGCUUUGACGGGUAGCCGUCCUGAGAGGGUGACCGGCCACAUUGGGAGUGAGAUAGGGCCCAGAGGGAUAAGGGAGGCAGGAGUGGGGAAUAUAGCAAAAAGGGAGGAGGCCAGAAGGAGCGACGCCGGGUGGGAGAGGACGGCCUUCGGGUUGGAAACGACUAGCGCCAAUGACGAAGCGUGAGUGACGGUAAUGGGUAAAAAGACACGGACUAACUAGGU